GAUGAAGAACGCAGCGAAUUGCGAUAAGUAAUGUGAAUUGCAGAUUUUCAGUGAAUCAUCGAAUCUUUGAACGCACCUUGCGCCCCUUGGUAUCCCGAGGGGCAUGCCUGUUCGAGCGUCAUUUCACCACUCAAGCCUGGCUUGGUGUUGGGCGACGUCCUCUUUGGGGACGCGCCUCGAAACGCUCGGCGGCGUGGCACCGGCUUUAAGCGUAGCAGAAUCUUUCGCUUUGGAAGUCGGAGCCCCGUCUGCCGGAAGACCUGCUCGCAAGGUUGACCUCGGAUCAGGCAGGGAUACCCGCUGAACUUUAGCAUAUCAAUAAGCGGAGGA
rnacentral:misc_RNA from 1 species